CCUUACCAUCAGAGAGAAGCACUCACAACAAAGUUUCUGCAAGCACUCUAUGCCACGAUCAAAGGAAAUUCCAGAAGAGAUGAGAAAAAGGUUGUCAGUCUGAAAAGGGUAACAAAGCCAUUUUUAAGGCUCUGUGACUACAUCAAACCACAGUUUAGAGCCAUUAUCUCCAAAUGAAAAACAGUACUACUUAAAACAGUAGUGAAUAUUCCCAGGAGUGCCUGACCUGCCAAAAUUUCUUCAAGGGUGCAGUGACAACUCAUCCAUGGAGUCUCAGAAGAAGAUCUCAGAAGAACAUCCAAAGAACUGCAGGCCUCUCUAGCCUCAGCUAAGGUAUCGCUGACUAAGACGUCCCAAUAUUGCUGCCAUUCGCCCCCUGGAUUGAGCAAUGAUGACUAGGUCUGAUCCCAUCCUGAAGGAAGAGGAUGUCUUGUGAUGAAAUUUAUCGUUUAUCGUGGCCCUCAGGGCCUGGGCGCAGCAGCGUCCCAAUGGUAAUGAGAGUGAGAUGUAUCGCGCGAUCCGCCUGCCCGCGCCGGAGAUGAAUGGGCUGAAGGCAGCGUGACAACGUACUCUCUUCCUUCUGUCACCCACGUGCUUCACCUUCAUUUGUGCGUCUACUGCUGAUCACGAGCGAUGGAACUUAAGAUCUCCCAUUCAGCAGAAGACAGUCAUCGAAAUGACAGUGUACCGGGGCACUAAAUCCCCCUCCGCCAGGGUGUAGGCCAGACUGCUGAUAGGCCAUUCAGGUAAGAAGUGUCCCAUCACUGGGAUGGAUUUUGAACGGAUUGCAUCGUCAAGCACGGAGAAUACAUCAAAAUUACAAAUGGCCCUCCAGGGGCAUGGCAGGAGUCGCAGAAGAUGGGAUGUUAAUGAUGAGGCAUGGGUGUUUGUCUCUGAUUGUGUAAUCAGUCUGGCUCUUCCUCGCAGCAGGUGUGAUGCUGGAGCAUGACAAAAAUUACUCAAAGGGAAAUUAUGUCAGACUAAAUCACGUCAUAACAUCUCUAUGGAGUGUUGAAAACAACAGCAAAGCUUUAUGAAAGAUGGCAUAACACAAUUCUACUGUUAUAUGAGACAUGACCUCUGAUGUCACACCUCUGAUGAAAAUUUUUGCGUAAAUGCAAAUUAAAUUACAAAUUACA